GGAACCCUCGUUUAUCAGGCAAAACUUGACUAUCCUCCCUGCUUUGCAAGCAGGGGGUUAGGGGUUCGAGUCCCCUUACCUCCA
rnacentral:tRNA from 1 species